rnacentral:rRNA from 1 species
GACGUAGGGGGCAAGCGUUGUCCGGAUUUAUUGGGCGUAAAGAGCGUGUAGGCGGCUUUACAGGUCCGUUGUGAAAACUCGAGGCUCAACCUCGAGACGCCGGUGGAAACCGUAAAGCUAGAGUCCGGAAGAGGAGAGUGGAAUUCCUGGUGUAGCGGUGAAAUGCGCAGAUAUCAGGAGGAACACCCAUGGCGAAAGCGGCUCUCUGGGACGGUACUGACGCUGAGACGCGAAAGCGUGGGGAGCAAACAGG